rnacentral:rRNA from 1 species
CCUACGGGAGGCAGCAGUGGGGAAUUUUGGACAAUGGGGGCAACCCUGAUCCAGCAAUGCCGCGUGAGUGAAGAAGGCCCUCGGGUUGUAAAGCUCUUUUGUCAGGGAAGAAACGGUGGUUCCUAAUACGAGCUGCUAAUGACGGUACCUGAAGAAUAAGCACCGGCUAACUACGUGCCAGCAGCCGCGGUAAUACGUAGGGUGCAAGCGUUAAUCGGAAUUACUGGGCGUAAAGCGUGCGCAGGCGGUUUUAUAAGACAGAGGUGAAAUCCCCGGGCUCAACCUGGGAACUGCCUUUGUGACUGUAAGGCUAGAGUGUGUCAGAGGGGGGUAGAAUUCCACGUGUAGCAGUGAAAUGCGUAGAUAUGUGGAGGAAUACCGAUGGCGAAGGCAGCCCCCUGGGAUAACACUGACGCUCAUGCACGAAAGCGUGGGGAGCAAACAGGAUUAGAUACCCUGGUAGUCCACGCCCUAAACGAUGUCUACUAGUUGUCGGGACUUAAUUGUCUUGGUAACGCAGCUACGCGUGAGUAGACCGCCGNGGGAGGUACGGUCGCGAAGAAGUUAAACUUAAAUAAGUAAGUUAGUACGGACGUGAGACGUCGCCGACGGACGACGACGAGGGAGGUUAGG